rnacentral:rRNA from 1 species
GACGAACGCUGGCGGCGUGCUUAACACAUGCAAGUCGAACGGAAAGGCCCCGCUUUUGUGGGGUGCUCGAGUGGCGAACGGGUGAGUAACACGUGAGUAACCUGCCCUUGACUUUGGGAUAACUUCAGGAAACUGGGGCUAAUACCGGAUAGGAGCUCCUGCUGCAUGGUGGGGGUUGGAAAGUUUCGGCGGUUGGGGAUGGACUCGCGGCUUAUCAGCUUGUUGGUGGGGUAGUGGCUUACCAAGGCUUUGACGGGUAGCCGGCCUGAGAGGGUGACCGGCCACAUUGGGACUGAGAUACGGCCCAGACUCCUACGGGAGGCAGCAGUGGGGAAUAUUGCACAAUGGGCGGAAGCCUGAUGCAGCAACGCCGCGUGCGGGAUGACGGCCUUCGGGUUGUAAACCGCUUUCGCCUGUGACGAAGCGUGAGUGGCGGUAAUGGGUAAAGAAGCACCGGCUAACUACGUG